rnacentral:rRNA from 1 species
AUGGCCGAAUGCUUCAAUAGGGUGCUCAAAGGUGCACGUGGAUUACCCGUGACGGCAAUAGUUCAAUACACAUUUGACAAGAUGAAUGCGUACUUUCUAAAGUACUCGAUGGAAACUGAUGCACAGAUAGCGGGUGAGAACCCGCACAAGUACAAGUACAAGUUCCCACCCAAGGUUGAUGAAUGGUUAGAAUUUCAAUCACGAAAGGCGGACUCGGAAGAAGCUAUAUUAUAUGACAAUGAAGAGUGGAAGUACGAAGUGAAAGAGCCAAGAGGAACCACAAACGAUGGCCGGCAACAUGGAGGUCGGGCUUUCAAGGUGUUGUUAACGCAAUGUGAUUGCUCUUGCGGGAGGCCAUUGUUGCUUCAUCUCCCAUGCUCACACUUGUAUACCGCCGGUCGCGUUAGAAAUGUGGACAUCAAUCACCCACGCACCGUGAGGGAGUUGGAGUUCUCAAUCAUGACGGUCAAGAAAACAUGGGCUCCCCGCUUUCACCCAUACUUUGACCAAUCACAAUGGCCGGAGUACCAUGGAGUUCAACUAUGGCCGGAU